CAGUCGUGCUGGCGCGAAAUCAACCCUCUCAUCGGGAGACCCAUGUUGUGGCGAGCCUCAAAACCGCCACAGCAUGUGUCUCACGAUGAGGGGGAGCACUUUCGUGUCCGCUGGUUAACAUCAAUUUCGAACGUCAUAAAAAGGCUGGAGGGAUGUGGCUCCUUCGGGAGUGUUAUAACCUUUAGCGGAAUGUGGUGUUCGGGAUUGAGGAUUGCAACGAAUACCUUUAGGGCUGUUCCACCUGGCUUCUCUUUGGUAUCCUGGUGACGACAGCUUGCUGACGUCGUUAGGAUUCGCCUUUGAACAGGCUAGAGUGUGAGCAAAUUCGUUAAGGAUGUUGACGUA
rnacentral:rRNA from 1 species